GGGAUGAGGCACUGAGAAUAUCAAGUCUGCUUCAAAGUCAACUUGAAUUUUAGCUAUACAACCCUACUUGUAGGUCAAAUGUACCUUCUCCCUGGUCAGAUGUGAGGCAUGAAGUCAAGGACCUGACGAUUGGGACGGAAGACAGGAAGGGUCUCUUUCCAUCUCUGUCCCUGUCUCUCUCUUACAGGUGCUGGCCUCCUGGGCCCCAGUUUUAGGCAUGGAACAUCACUGUCACUUAACAGUCCGUAGCCGGCUGGAGGAUGACAGGCACUGAGCAUAAAAACUCCCUUCGAUUUGGAAUCUCACUAGACCGAAUAGUAUCUUGAAGACCACUUCGCAGGGCAUUCUCAGUGAAGGCAUUCAACUGAUGUGUAAUUCAUUCUAAUUUGAAGCUAUGACAACAUCGGCCAGUUGUUGUCUAUAUGUAAAAUCUUGGUCCUGAAGAAAAGCCAGUUGGGAAACCACAAUUUCAUACCUGUCAAAUUUUCUCUGUUCAAAACAGUCUGCAAGAUUUAAACCCUUUAAAACAUACACUGAAUGUUUUAUUAAGACUUCUGAAUGCAUUAUUAUAGUGCAUUAUUAAGGCUUUCCAAGAAACAAGAUAGAAAAGCCUAAAUGUAUUCAUUUGAAAUGAUUUGCAGAUGUGUCAAUCCAGGUUUAAAUGUGUAUUUUAGCUGGGGUUUACAUCACCACCCAGAUCUUUUAAUAAAUAAAACCCCCCGUGUUAUGAAUACAUAUUAGAGUGACACUACUGACAUUUAGAUCCAGUGUGAUUAUUCAGAUAGGGGAUAAAGAGCCAAAGCCCCCCCUCCCACACACACACACACACACACACACACACAACCGUUAGUUCAGGAAGGAAGAGCCCACCACAACGCAGUCUGCUGCUAAUGAGCCAAUUAUCUCUGCACUGCAACACAGGAAGUCGUGGCCGUAAAAGAGUGACUUCUUUUUUAUUCAUCAUUUUUACAAGAGCAUGUCAGCCAGCUCUCUGACACUGAAAAUGUUAGACGGGUAUAAGGGCUUAUUAGACAAGCCUAGUUUUUAAUGCUUUUAUAUUACUUCUAUACCAAAGCAUAUUAAUAUUAAUUUAUUAAACUUCGUGACCUUAUAAGUUUUCAUGGGUUCACAACCUAAAAAAUGGGAAAUGCAGUAAAGUUGGGUCAUGAAUCACUCAUAUAUUUGUGAUGAUGGCGUUAUGACUAAUGUUACACUGCUGUGAUGCUGCUCACAUUAUGACUGUCUGACAGUGCCAUCUGGUGGAUAGCAAAUGUUUAAAUAAAUAAGCUUUCAUUUAUGGGCCAGUGGAGAGCCUGUAAGAAUUUAUUUUUGUCUUUCACAGUCAUAGCCUUCCAAUAAUUGAGUGGUUCAGUGCCUGUAAAACUGAUAGAGAGAUGAAUAUGCCCCAGAGGGAAUAUCCAAGAGAUACUACUCCCAGAUUCUCUACUGCAUUUAAUUUUGUGAUGGCUCACUAUUAUAUAACCUUUACUGUACUAUCAAUCACAUUGGUAUAACUGUCCUGAUAUACCAAUAGGACAUGUCAGUUUCCAUAACAGCCAGGCCGA